GAUGAGCAUGCGUCCCAUUAGCUAGUUGGUAAGGUAACGGCUUACCAAGGCAACGAUGGGUAGGGGUCCUGAGAGGGAGAUCCCCCACACUGGUACUGAGACACGGACCAGACUCCUACGGGAGGCAGCAGUGAGGAAUAUUGGUCAAUGGGCGCAAGCCUGAACCAGCCAUGCCGCGUGCAGGAUGACGGUCCUAUGGAUUGUAAACUGCUUUUGUACGGGAAGAAACAGCGAUUCGUGAAUCGCCUUGACGGUACCGUAAGAAUAAGGAUCGGCUAACUCCGUGCCAGCAGCCGCGGUAAUACGGAGGAUCCAAGCGUUAUCCGGAAUCAUUGGGUUUAAAGGGUCCGUAGGCGGUUUGGUAAGUCAGUGGUGAAAGCCCAUCGCUCAACGGUGGAACGGCCAUUGAUACUGCCAGACUUGAAUUAUUAGGAAGUAACUAGAAUAUGUAGUGUAGCGGUGAAAUGCUUAGAGAUUACAUGGAAUACCAAUUGCGAAGGCAGGUUACUACUAAUGGAUUGACGCUG
rnacentral:rRNA from 1 species